rnacentral:rRNA from 1 species
AUUGAACGCUGGCGGCAGGCCUAACACAUGCAAGUCGAGCGUGAAAGUCCUUCGGGAUGAGUAAAGCGGCGGACGGGUGAGUAACGCGUAGGAAUCUACCUAGUAGUGGGGGAUAACGUUCCGAAAGGAACGCUAAUACCGCAUACGUUCUGAGGAAGAAAGCAGGGGAUCUUCGGACCUUGCGCUAUUAGAUGAGCCUGCGUCCGAUUAGCUAGUUGGUGGGGUAAAGGCCUACCAAGGCGACGAUCGGUAACUGGUCUGAGAGGAUGAUCAGUCACACUGGAACUGAGACACGGUCCAGACUCCUACGGGAGGCAGCAGUGGGGAAUAUUGGACAAUGGGCGCAAGCCUGAUCCAGCCAUGCCGCGUGUGUGAAGAAGGCCUUCGGGUUGUAAAGCUCUGUCGGGAGGGACGAAGGGGAAACCCGUAGACGGUACCUCGCAAGAAAGCACCGGCUAAC